UUGACUGGGGCGGUCUCCUCCUAAAGAGUAACGGAGGAGCACGAAGGUUGGCUAAUCCUGGUCGGACAUCAGGAGGUUAGUGCAAUGGCAUAAGCCAGCUUGACUGCGAGCGUGACGGCGCGAGCAGGUGCGAAAGCAGGUCAUAGUGAUCCGGUGGUUCUGAAUGGAAGGGCCAUCGCUCAACGGAUAAAAGGUACUCCGGGGAUAACAGGCUGAUACCGCCCAAGAGUUCAUAUCGACGGCGGUGUUUGGCACCUCGAUGUCGGCUCAUCACAUCCUGGGGCUGAAGUAGGUCCCAAGGGUAUGGCUGUUCGCCAUUUAAAGUGGUACGCGAGCUGGGUUUAGAACGUCGUGAGACAGUUCGGUCCCUAUCUGCCGUGGGCGCUGGAGAACUGAGGGGGGCUGCUCCUAGUACGAGAGGACCGGAGUGGACGCAUCACUGGUGUUCGGGUUGUCAUGCCAAUGGCACUGCCCGGUAGCUAAAUG
rnacentral:rRNA from 1 species